GACGAACGCUGGCGGCGUGCUUAACACAUGCAAGUCGAACGGAAAGGCCCUUCGGGGUACUCGAGUGGCGAACGGGUGAGUAACACGUGGGUGAUCUGCCCUGCACUUUGGGAUAAGCCUGGGAAACUGGGUCUAAUACCGAAUAGGACCACGCGCUUCAUGGUGUGUGGUGGAAAGCUUUUGCGGUGUGGGAUGGGCCCGCGGCCUAUCAGCUUGUUGGUGGGGUAAUGGCCUACCAAGGCGACGACGGGUAGCCGGCCUGGGAGGGUGACCGGCCACACUGGGACUGAGAGACGGACCAGACGCCUACGGGAGGCAGCAGUGGGGAAUAUUGCACAAUGGGGGCAAGCCUGAUGCAGCGACGCCGCGUGAGGGAUGACGGCCUUCGGGUUGUAAACCUCUUUCAAUAGGGACGAAGCGCAAGUGACGGUACCUAUAGAAGAAGCACCGGCCAACUACGUG
rnacentral:rRNA from 1 species